rnacentral:rRNA from 1 species
AGUGAACGCUGGCGGUAGGCCUAACACAUGCAAGUCGAACGGCAGCACAGUAAGAGCUUGCUCUUACGGGUGGCGAGUGGCGGACGGGUGAGGAAUACAUCGGAAUCUACUUUUUCGUGGGGGAUAACGUAGGGAAACUUACGCUAAUACCGCAUACGACCUACGGGUGAAAGCAGUGGAUCUUCGGACCUUGCGCGAUUGAAUGAGCCGAUGUCGGAUUAGCUAGUUGGCGAGGUAAAGGCCCACCAAGGCGACGAUCCGUAGCUGACCUGAGAGGAUGAUCGGCCACACUGGAACUGAGCCACGGUCCAGACUCCUACGGGAGGCAGCAGUAGGGAAUCUUCCGCAAGGGGCGAAAGCCUGACGGAGCAACGCCGCGUGAGUGAUGAAGGUCUUCGGAUCGUAAAACUCUGUUAUUAGGGAAGAACAAAGGUGUAAGUAACUAUGCACGUCUUGACGGUACCUAAUCAGAAAGCCACGGCUAACUACGUG